GAGCAACAGAGACGCCGUUUCCUCUAGGGUUGUUGAAGGGUUGAGGAAAAUGAAGACUAUACUCUCAUCUGAGACUAUGGACAUUCCCGAUGGGGUUAAGAUCAAGAUCAAUGCCAAGGUCAUAGAGGUGGAGGGUCCUCGAGGCAAGCUUACCCGCAACUUCAAGCAUUUGAACCUCGAUUUCCAUCUCAUCAAGGAUGAGGCUACCGGAAAACGCAAGCUCAAGAUCGAAGCUUGGUUCGGUUCCAGGAAGACCAGCGCGGCUAUCCGCACUGCCCUCAGUCAUGUUGAGAAUCUCAUCACUGGUGUC
rnacentral:lncRNA from 1 species